GCUUAUAUAGUGUAAUGAAUAAGCACAACAGAUUGGAUAUCCGUAGGUGCAGGCUUGAACCCUGCUUGAGGUU
rnacentral:tRNA from 1 species